CCUACGGGUGGCAGCAGUGGGGAAUAUUGCACAAUGGGGGAAACCCUGAUGCAGCGACGCCGCGUGAGUGAAGAAGUAUUUCGGGUUGUAAAGUUCUGUCAGCAGGGAAGAAAAUGACGGUACCUGACCAAGAAGCCCCGGCUAACUACGUGCCAGCAGCCGCGGUAAUACGUAGGGGGCAAGCGUUAUCCGGAUUUACUGGGUGUAAAGAGAGCGUAGACGGGAGGGCAAGUCUGAGGUGAAAGGCGGGGGCUCAACCCCCGGACUGCUCUGGAAACUGCUAGGCUGGAGUGCAGGAGAGGUAAGUGGAAUUCCUAGUGUAGCGGUGAAAUGCGUAGAUAUUAGGAGGAACACCAGUGGCGAAGGCGGCUUACUGGACUGUAACUGACGUUGAGGCUCGAAAGCGUGGGGAGCAAACAGGAUUAGAUACCCGAGUAGUC
rnacentral:rRNA from 1 species